ensembl:lncRNA
GUUAGGGGCGAAGCGGGGUGGAUGGUUGGCGGUUAGGGGCAAAUCGGGGUGGAUGGUUGACGGUUAGGGGCCAAGCGGGGUGGCCGGUUGGCAGUUAGGGGCGAAGCGGGGUGUAUGGUUGGCGGUUAGGGGCGAAGCAGGGUGGUUUGGUUGGCGGAUAGGUUUGAAGCGGGGUGGAUGGUUGGCGGUUAGGGGCCACGCGUGGUGUUUUGGUUGGCGGUCUGGGGUGAAGCGGAUGGUUGGCAGUUAGGGUCGAAGCGGGGUGGAUAGUUGGCGGUUAGGGGCGAAGCGGGGUGGAUGGUUGGUGGUUAGGGGCGAAGCGGGGUGGGUGGUUGACGGUUAGGGGCGAAGUGGGGUGGAUGGUUGGUUGUUAGGGG